GACGAACUGUGCAAACGUUAUUCGGAAUCACUGGGCUUAAAGGGCUCGUAGGUGGCCAACUAAGUCGGACGUGAAAUCCCCCGGCUUAACCUGGGAACUGCGUCUGAUACUGGACGGCUAGAGUAUGGGAGAGGGAUGUAGAAUUCCAGGUGUAGCGGUGAAAUGCGUAGAUAUCAAGAGGAACACCUGAGGUGAAGACGGGUUGCUGGGCUGACACUGACGCUGAGGCGCGAAAGCCAGGGGAGCAAACGGG
rnacentral:rRNA from 1 species